AGCGGCAGGCCUAACACAUGCAAGUCGAGGGGUAACAGGAAGUGCUUGCACUUCGCUGACGACCGGCGCACGGGUGAGUACCGCGUAUACAAUCUGCCUCAUACUAGGGGAUAGCCCGAAGAAAUUUGGAUUAAUACCCUAUAGUAUCUUUUUAAGGCAUCUUAUUAAGAUUAAAGGUUACGGUAUGAGAUGAGUAUGCGUUCUAUUAGCUAGUAGGUGUGGUAACGGCACACCUAGGCUACGAUAGAUAGGGGCCCUGAGAGGGGGAUCCCCCACACUGGUACUGAGACACGGACCAGACUCCUACGGGAGGCAGCAGUGAGGAAUAUUGGACAAUGGGCGAAAGCCUGAUCCAGCCAUGCCGCGUGCAGGAUGACUGCCCUAUGGGUUGUAAACUGCUUUUAUAUAGGAAGAAAAACUUUCUCGUGAGAAAGCUUGACGGUACUAUAAGAAUAAGGAUCGGCUAACUCCGUGCCAGCAGCCGCGGUAAUACGGAGGAUCCAAGCGUUAUCCGGAAUCAUUGGGUUUAAAGGGUCCGUAGGUGGACAAAUAAGUCAGAGGUGAAAUCCUGCAGCUCAACUGUAGAACUGCCUUUGAUACUGUUUGUCUUGAGUUAUUAUGAAGUGGUUAGAAUGUGUAGUGUAGCGGUGAAAUGCAUAGAUAUUACACAGAAUACCGAUUGCGAAGGCAGAUCACUAAUAAUUAACUGACACUGAGGGACGAAAGCGUGGGUAGCGAACAGGAUUAGAUACCCUGGUAGUCCACGCCGUAAACGAUGGUCACUAGCUGUUUGGACUUCGGUCUGAGUGGCUAAGCGAAAGUGAUAAGUGACCCACCUGGGGAGUACGUCGC
rnacentral:rRNA from 1 species